UUGUGUUUUGUGCUCUUAGGGGUGUGUUUGGGAAUUAUGUUUCUAUAAAAAGUAUGCCGUUCUCAGGUUAACACACACACACACAUACAAACACACACGAAAACACUCUGACUUAUCACCUGUUGACAGUAAGGCUAAACUCACCAACAUGGACUUUGGCAAGGGCGGCAUUGAUGGACAGGUCAAUAAGGUCAUCGAUCAGGCAGCUGGGGUUGCCAAAAAGAAAAUUGGCGAGGCGAUUGGAGGAGAUAAAAACAAGGACAAGAAACAGGCGGGAGGUAUUGGCGAUAUGGUGAGCGGUGCGAUUGGCAAAGCAGCAGCUGACAGCGCAGCAGAUCAGGCACUCAAUUUUGGGAAGAGCCUGAUGAAAUGAUUUGCAUUCAUUUGUUGCAUCUUUUCUAAUGCAAUUCCUCACAAAGAAAAUUUAUCCUUCAGUCCCGUACACACACACCUGUAACCCGGAACACACAUCAUCUCUGUAAUACUUUCGCUAUCUAAACCAGACAUAAACAAACAAAUCCUGCUUCUGUUGUAAUGG